rnacentral:rRNA from 1 species
UACGUAGGGUGCAAGCGUUAAUCGGAAUUACUGGGCGUAAAGCGUGCGCAGGCGGUUCGUGAUGUCUGGUGUGAAAGCCCCGGGCUUAACCUGGGAAUUGCAUUGGAAACUAGCGGGCUGGAGUGUGGCAGAGGGGGGGUGGAAUUCCACGUGUAGCAGUGAAAUGCGUAGAGAUGUGGAGGAACACCGAUGGCGAAGGCAGCCCCCUGGGCUAACACUGACGCUCAUGCACGAAAGCGUGGGGAGCAAACAGG